rfam:Oryza barthii chromosome 9, whole genome shotgun sequence.
AAUAAGUGCAGUUUUACACUAUUCAUCUUUAACGUUUCACCGUUUAUCUUAUGUGAAAAAUUUUUAUGAUUACUAUUGUUAUUGUUAUUAGAUGAUAAAAUAUGAAUAGUACUUUAUGUAUGACUAUUUUUUUAAAAAAAUUCAUAAUCAAAUAAGAUGACGGUCAAACGUUGACACGGAUUUCCACGGCUGCAUUUAUU